AAAAGGUUAACCGAAAUGGGACUCAUAUUGUUGGCUCAAUUGGGUUAAAUGUAUGGGCCCAAUUCAGCAUUAACGUGGGCUAACCGGGCAUGGGACAGAAAUGGGAACACUAUAUGGGGCCCAUGUGGUUUCAGUAUAUUGGGCCUAAAAGGUUUUUUGUAAAUAGGAUGAAGGCAUUGUAGUUCAUAUUUUUAAAUUCUUUUUUUAAUUGUUGUGUGACACUUUAAAGCGUUUUGUUAUGUCAUAGUUUAUUUCAAUCUGCCGCUAUUGUGUUGGUCUAGAGUAGUCAUCAGUGUCAGGGUUCCUGUGUGUGUAUGUGAGUGUCGCAUCUUAUUUCAGCGAGGAUCUUUGUGAGGAGCCCGUGGAGCUUGGCACAGGUGGAGGAGCAGCAGAAUCUUCAGUCUACGCUAGAUUGACUGAAGAUUCUACUGGUGUAUGCUAGAUGGUUGCAUACACCGGUAGUCACUCUGGCCUCUCCUGUUGUGAACAGUUUUCUGAGAACGUUUCUGUGUCUACUAGAAGUCACCUGGUCUCUGUGUUUGUUCGAUCCUAGGGGUUUUGUCGCCUCAUUCGAGAACUCACCAGUGAAUACCUGCCUGCUCGCUCCGCCGAUUCCACUGCCUCCACUCCACCCUUCGAGCUUCCAGCUCUCUUCCAUUCCCACCUCGCAUUUACCUUCGGAACCGCUGCACACCCUCUCUCAGGAACCUGGCAUCUCACACCCACGCCUCGAAAGACCCGCACCGAAGCUUCAAGAGGAUCAGCGUGUGAAGAUCACUUUAUAAUGAUUUGAAAAAGGUUGCCAUGGCUGCAGAAAUUGGAGGAGCAUCCUUAGAUGACACAAUACAACCAGCUGUGCGAUUCCUCAUGUCCCAUGAACUGGAAGUCCAGUUCAACCUUUUUGGCCAACAUUGGAAACAAGCUCUUGGACCUGCGUCUCUUUGAUGGGGACUUAAAAGAAAUUAUCCAUCUACAGAAUCACACAAGCAUACAGCAAAGACUCUCGAAGUGGUUUACUGGAGCCCGAGUGGAAGUGGAAAUAGA